rnacentral:rRNA from 1 species
UACGUAGGGUGCGAGCGUUGCCCGGAUUUAUUGGGCGUAAAGGGCGCGUAGGCGGUGAGAUGCGUCUGUUGUGAAAACUCGAGGCUCAACCUCGAGACGCCGAUGGAAACCCCCGAACUAGAGUCCGGAAGAGGAGAAUGGAAUUCCUGGUGUAGCGGUGAAAUGCGCAGAUAUCAGGAAGAACACCCGUGGCUAAGGCGGUUCUCUAGUACGGUACUGACGCUGAGACGCGAAAGCGUGGGGAGCGAACAGG